AGUUUCUCAGGGUCGCACCUGGAGAGUUUCCAGUACUCUACCAGCCUCGGUUAUGGGAGGGAGAGUCAAGCAGGGGCAUACCCGUUCUGUUCCUAGCUUGGGCAGUGGCUAGCAAGUGGAAGGCAAUCUGCUACAUGU